GUGCUCACUUCGGCAGCACAUACGCUAAAAUUGGAACUAUACAGAGAAGAUCAGCAUGGCCCCUGUGCAAGGAUGACACCCAAAUUCACGAACUGUUCCAUAUUUUU
ensembl:snRNA Gm25851 U6 spliceosomal RNA